UACGUAGGGACCAAGCGUUGUUCGGAUUUACUGGGCGUAAAGGGCGCGUAGGCGGCGUGUUAAGUCACUUGUGAAAUCUCUAAGCUUAACUUAGAACGGUCAAGUGAUACUGAUGUGCUAGAGUGCAGAAGGGGCAACCGGAAUUCUUGGUGUAGAGGUGAAAUUCGUAGAUAUCUGGAGGAACAACAGUGGCGAAGGCGGCCUACUGGACUGCAACUGACACUGAGGCGCGAAAGCGUGGGGGAGCAAACAGG
rnacentral:rRNA from 1 species